GGGAGACCGAGGUACGGCAGAACAGUAUGGUUACAAAAACGCGGCGUAAUCUACGACAUGGAGAGCGAGGAUAGUAAGAAAAGCGAGUUGAGUGCUUAAGAGGUCAUGUAACUAGCGGGGUCAAUGUGGUCAGGCAGCUCGGGCACGGCGACCUCAAAGCGGGACUGGAUGGCCGCCAUCACCUGUUGGUCGCUCUCCGAUGACACGAAGGUAAUCGCAA
rnacentral:misc_RNA from 1 species